UCAGUUUAGUACAGUUUAGUAGUCAAAACGUGGAAGUCAGUGGAAGUCGUGCAAGACACUCUCGAUGCUAUAAAGUGUGUAUAAGUUUGUGAGAAAUUAUUAAAAAUUUUGCUUUGUUCGUCUGAUAUAUUAAUUCACAGUGUUUUAGUAUAUUUUUGAAGUAUCUGAAAAGGCUUUUGUUUAAAGAAUAUCACCAAAAAAUAUUUCAGAAUGCCUAAAAAAUCAAGUGGUUUUGCUAUGUUUAUGUUUGAAUAUAAAAAAAGGGAAGAACGUGCUGGACGUAAAUUUCCUAAUGGAUUGAAGUCUGUUCAUGAGGAUCCUGGAUGCGAUAGAGAGUGGAAGCAAUUAUCGGAAAGAGAGAGAGAGAGAUAUAAGCAAAUGGGGAAGGCAACAGACUUGGUGACAAAGAAGAAGAAGAAGACAGGAACCGGAGAAUGCAUGGAUGAGGUUGAAAAACAAAGAAAGAGGGAAUUAGAUUUUCAAGCAGAUAUGAACCAAGAUAUUGAAAAUACUGUCAUGAAAGGAGUUGAAAUGCAAGAUCUUGCGAAAAGAAAAUUCUUCUUCAUCCAUUCAAACUGGUUUUAUACAAGAAAGUAUGAUAAUGGAGAUUUUGAAUAUUUUCCUGCGGAAUUUGCUCUUGCGGAAUUUUCAUUGGAAAAUGGAGUGACACAAGUUUAUCAUGAAAUUCUAAAAGAUAACGUAAUGGUGGGUUAUACGAGAGAAGCUAAGGAGACAAGUCAAGAAACCCAUCAAAUACCAGUACCAAAUACUUUAGAAUGUGCUGAGGGCGAUUACAGUAAAAUGUGUUAUAAGGUGUUACAAUUGCUGAAACCGUACAAAGUAGGUGGAAAAUAUCCACCUGUAUACACAAUGCAAAAAAAUAAUGCACCUGUAAAAUCUUUAUUGAAAAAAUUAAUGGAGAGCAUUGAUCUUUGUGAUGAAACUGUCAUUGUCUACGAUUUGGAAAUAUUACUAUCGAACCUUUGCAAUGCGAAUUCAGAUGAUAAUAAAUUCCCAGUUGUCAUGGCUGAACAUGAAUUGGUCAAAGAUACAUUUUCCUUCAUUCAAGGUCUUGAUUGCGAUUAUCAUAAGACUUUAGAUGGAACAAGUCAAUUUUGCAGCAUGUCAAACGUAAAAAGAUGGGCGUACACAAUUUGCGAUUGUUGUUGUGAACAAUUAAAAAUUGAAAUGAUCGAAGGAAUUCAUUAUCCAAAGAAAGUAACUUUCGAUUCUUUGAGUACAAAUCCUGUGACAACAUUGUUUAAUCAGAUGUCUUUGGAAAAUCAAAGCAUCAAAUCCAUGACUGGAGUGAGUAACGCGCACAGACUGGCUGUCUCCGGACGCACAGAAGAAGAGGAAUUAAGGAGACGAAACCAGAAGACGACAAUAACUGUCGUCAAAUACACAUCAGAUGAAGCUCAAGUUCAAGCUCCAAUUGCUCCAAAUGUUCCAAGUUUCACUCCUAAACCACUUCUCAGUCACGUUGCGUCAAAUUCUGCGACUGAGGAAUAUCAACGUCCCCUACGUGCGCCAUAUUCAAAAAGUUCAAUUGCUGCGAUUGUGGGAGAAACAAAGCAGCAUGCCUUUCACGAAGAAGAUUUUCCAAGUUUGGGUGUUUCGUCCGGAAGAGGAAGAGGCAAUCGAAGAGCAAUGAAGGAACAGAAACAAAGUGCUGGACGUGGUCGUGGCAUCGCCUUGUCAUAAAAGAUAAAUUUUUUUUAUUAUGAAAUUUCACUUCUUCAUUUUUAUUAUUACAAUCAUAAAUACCAGGUCAAUAUAUAAUACAAAAAAAAAAAUUGUUGAUAUAAUAAUUUUAUUUUUCUAAAAACUUAUUUGUUCAAUUUAAAUUAUUUCAUAUAAUAAAAUAUGAAAUAUUAAUAUGAAUAUCUUCUAGAAUUACGACAAAUUAUUUUCAAUGUUGAAAAGAAAAACAAUUAUAUAUAAAAUGGAAAAGAGGAAAAAAAGAAGAAAAUUUAUGUUUCUAUUCCCGUUGUUUGUGCGACGAAUGAUGUUUGGAUGGAUGCUUGUGUGACUGGAGAAGGUUUCAGGGGCACGCGACGGAUUCUGACUCAACGAAAGUUUAGUCUUCGGUUGACAUUCAAGUGCGACGAAGCUCAGUGCCACGUUUUAUUUUUUUCACACGUAUUUACUUUCACACUCUUAAUGAAAAAGUUGUCGGCAAAGUGAAACUCAAAAAUGCAUCUUCUGCCUCUUUUUCUUUAAAAUUCCAUUAACUUGCGAACUGUCAGGU